rnacentral:snoRNA from 1 species
GGGCAGAGGAUGUUAAACAUUUAAACUGCUGCGGCCUUUCCGAUCUCUGAUGAUCUAAAAUCGAGCUUUUUUAAAACUGAUGCCUA